UUUCUGAAAAAUAUUCCAAUUUAUAUAAAAUUGAGAAAAAUUUUCACUAGAGUAUCUUAUAAAAAUACUGCAUUUAGAAAAUAUUUUAUAAUUGCUAAUUUCGAAUAUAGAUUGCCCAAUUUCAUACAUAUAAAUUCUUUUUCGUUCAGUUCUUUUCAUGAGUCUAAAAGUUUCCUUUUUUAUAAGGAAAAAAAAAAAAAAAACGAUUAUGCGAUUAUACGUCGUUUGAAACGGCUUCCCCUACCCUAUGGACCACUAUGCAAAUACACGAAAACUUUCCAUUGCCUCUGGUAUGGUCACUCUUAACCCUCUGUAGUCCAGUGUCCUUUUCGCUGCUUUCUUGCGAUCCAACCAAGUCACUGAGUGUUUUUUGAAAAUUUUUGGGAUCUAAACAAUCUGGAAAAAGUUCUGGUACCCUGUACCAAUAUUUCGAAAUACGAUUUCACAAUUGUUAGACUCGAAAUAUUUUUCAUUGUUUUGUACGUGUCUGAAUUUGAAGCAAAACCAUUUAAAAUUGAACAUUUGUCUGAGUCUUGAAAUCUCCGGUUUAACGCGAAAAAUAAAAUAGGUAUUCGAUGCAGACACGGUGUGCUCGUAAUUCGACACAUUAAUCGCAAAUGUUCUCGUGGUGCAGGAUUUUGGAAAACUUAAUGUUACGCACCCAAAGUAAAUAUUGUACGUCAAAAUUAAUUUAAGUAAUACUUGCAUAUCAUAUUUCCGGUCUUCAUAUCACACGGUUAUGAACAUA